rnacentral:rRNA from 1 species
CAGCCGCCGCGGUAAUACGUAGGGGGCGAGCGUUAUCCGGAUUCAUUGGGCGUAAAGCGCGCGUAGGCGGCCUGUUAGGUCGGGAGUUAAAUCCGGGGGCUCAACCCUCGUCCGCUCCCGAUACCGGCAGGCUUGAGUCUGGAAUGGGAAGGCGGAAUUCCGAGUGUAGCGGUGGAAUGCGCAGAUAUUCGGAAGAACACCGGUGGCGAAGGCGGCCUUCUGGGCCACGACUGACGCUGAGGCGCGAAAGCUAGGGGAGCGAACAGGAUUAGAUACCCUGGUAGUCCUAGCCGUAAACGAUGGACACUAGGUGUGGGGGGAUGUACCUUCCGUGCCGCAGCUAACGCAUUAAGUGUCCCGCCUGGGGAGUACGGCCGCAAGGCUAAAACUCAAAGGAAUUGACGGGGGCCCGCACAAGCAGCGGAGCAUGUGGCUUAAUUCGAAGCAACGCGAAGAACCUUACCAGGGCUUGACAUCUAGGUGAAGCGGUGGAGACACCGUGGCCGAAAGGAGUCUAGACAGGAGGUGCAUGGCC